rnacentral:rRNA from 1 species
AACGCGAAGAACCUUACCCAGGCUUGACAUGCACCGGACGAUGCCAGAGAUGGCAUUUCCCUUCGGGGUCGGUGCACAGGUGCUGCAUGGCUGUCGUCAGCUCGUGCCGUGAGGUGUUGGGUUAAGUCCCGCAACGAGCGCAACCCUUAUCAUUAGUUGCCAGCAUAUAAGGUGGGAACUCUAAUGAGACUGCCCGGGUUAACCGGGAGGAAGGUGAGGAUGACGUCAAGUCCGCAUGGCCCUUAUGUCUGGGGCUACACACGUGCUACAAUGGCCGGUACAGAAGGCAGCGAAACCGUGAGGUGAAGCAAAUCCCUAAAGCCGGCCCCAGUUCAGAUUGUAGUCUGCAACUCGACUACAUGAAGACGGAAUUGCUAGUAAUGGCGUGUCAGCAACAACGCCGUGAAUACGUUCCCGGGCCUUGUACACACCGACGCGUA